AAUUAUACAAAUCCACGAUUCGAUACUUGGGUUAGAGUGGAAGAUAUUGACCGUACUUCGCCUGUUUAUAGACAUCUUGCCGCAUUUCCUCUAGGAGAUGAAACUCACGGAGGUGAAGACGUUCCUGUUUAUGCUAUAGGUCCAAAUGCUAAAUUAGUGCAAGGUGCUAUGGAGCAAAAUUUUAUCGCCUACAUUAUGAGUUAUUCUAGUUGUAUUGGCCCAGCAGCUAAAUUUAAUGAUGCAUGCAAAUAUCAAACAAGUUCUGCAACUUCAGUCAUGCAGCCAAAGUUUUUCGGGAAAAACAGAUUAUUUCAAUUUCUUCUAUCUGUAUUAUUCGCAAUUUUCGCAAAACUAAUGUAAAAAAAAAGUGAACAUUAUUUUUACUAUUUGUUUGUAAAUAUGUAUUAAAUAAAUGUAAAGAUGAAAAAAACAA